GUGCUUUACAUGCAAGUCGAACGCUGAAGCUUGGUGCUUGCACUUAGGUGGAUGAGUGGCGAACGGGUGAGUAAUACGUGAGUAACCUGCCCUUGACUCUGGGAUAAGCCUGGGAAACUGGGUCUAAUACUGGAUAUGACCUCCUGUCGCAUGGUGGGGGGUGGAAAGGGUUUGUACUGGUUGUGGAUGGGCUCACGGCCUAUCAGCUUGUUGGUGGGGUAAUGGCCUACCAAGGCGACGACGGGUAGCCGGCCUGAGAGGGUGACCGGCCACACUGGGACUGAGACACGGCCCAGACUCCUACGGGAGGCAGCAGUGGGGAAUAUUGCACAAUGGGCGCAAGCCUGAUGCAGCGACGCCGCGUGAGGGAUGACGGCCUUCGGGUUGUAAACCUCUUUCAGCACGGAAGAAGCGAAAGUGACGGUACGUGCAGAAGAAGCGCCGGCUAACUACGUGCCAGCAGCCGCGGUAAUACGUAGGGCGCAAGCGUUGUCCGGAAUUAUUGGGCGUAAAGAGCUCGUAGGCGGUUUGUCGCGUCUGCUGUGAAAGCCCGGGGCUUAACCCCGGGUGUGCAGUGGGUACGGGCAGACUUGAGUGCAGUAGGGGAGACUGGAACUCCUGGUGUAGCGGUGAAAUGCGCAGAUAUCAGGAAGAACACCGAUGGCGAAGGCAGGUCUCUGGGCUGUUACUGACGCUGAGGAGCGAAAGCAUGGGGAGCGAACAGGAUUAGAUAC
rnacentral:rRNA from 2 species